GCGGAGCGCCCCGCGCCGCACUCACCAUGGCCCCGACUGCCCGGCCCCGCACUGCCCAGCGCCGGCCGGAGCGCGCGGAGGCCGCGGCACGGCGCGGCACGGCGCGGCACGACAGCUGCCGUAAAGCGAGGCGGGGCGGGGCCGCCGCGUGCUUCGCUGCGGAACGCCUCUGCGCUCCUUCGUUAUGCAGAUCGGUGACGGUGUGCCCGACGUUGUGACGGCACGCGUCUGUGUUUGGAAAUGCUCUUUGCUCUCCCAUCCUCGCCCCGUCCCGCUGCUCGUUUUUCCCCCCGUGCUCCUGUGCCGACACAUCACCGCAGACUCGGCACGCUUCGCCCCGGUGGGGCCUCCCCUGCGCUGCCACGUGCUCUUCCCGACGGACUGCCUCGGUAUUCCAUUGCUGAAGGCUGCUACAAAGCGAGGGGGAGUUACGGCUCUGGCACUCGUGUUGGAGUGCCGUCAGUAGCGCGGUGCCUCCGCUCGUCCUGCGUUGGCCCCCGAUGGCGGUGGGAUGGCAGCAGGGGUCGAACCUUCCCAGUGCUCCGCUGCGCGCGGCUGCCGUGCGAUGGACGGCGGCAGAGGGGCGGUCGGACAAAAUGGUGUCUGGCGCGGAAGCGCGUGAAGCAAACGUGCGUCACUGAACUCCUCCUCCGUGAGGGUCCGAUGGCGCUCGCUGACAUUCCCUAACGCUCGCUGAACGUUUAUGGAGACCAACCGGCACGUGUGAGCACGGUGCGGAGGUGGGUGGUGCACUUCAGCGGUGGCAACACCAUGUGACAUAGAAGCCGUGUGACAUAGAAGCCACGUCCCGGAUGGCCACGCGCGGCUGUUCGUUACAAGCAGGGCACGCGGGUUCAGCGCUGGCAAAAAUGCACUGCCGGUGGUAGCGGCUGUUUGAAAAAUAGGACUUUGCAGCUGAGAAGGUGCUUUAUCAAGUGGAGCUACUGUGCUCUUUCUAUCUGUUGUAGUUUCCAUGGAAAUAAAUAGGAAGCAUUACUUGCAGAGCAGCCUACAUACUUUUUAGCUUCUCUUUAGCUCUGAGCACACUUUGAAUAUGCUAUAACUUCAUUUUGGCUUUGAAUUAUUUUUUCACCUAUAUUUUAAGUGCUUAAAUUUACGCCACCUGUAUUGGUGCUGACACAUGUUUGUCUCUGCUGUGAAACUCAAUAUAUUGAGUGGCAGCAAAGCACACUUGUGCCAACUGUAACAGAGAAACUGGAAAGGAGCAAAGCCGUUCUUUGCACUGCCUUAAUGAGUUGUGAAUCCCCAAACAAAGGUCCCAGUUCUAUGGUUUCGCCAUAUAGAGAUAGUUGCAACAUGAAGGCCUUUGCACACUGUGCAUUCAGAUAUACCUCAGAAUCUGCUGCUCUCCCAGCUGGAGAUGAAACAUCAGCAUUGUCAGCCAGCAGGGAAAACUUAAGUGGAGCAAAGUGCAGAAGUCAGGGGAGGAAGGAGAAGAAAACUCUGUCCAUCAUACGUAAAACAGGAUUUGAACUUGUCCCCCCAGAAUGGUAGAGGUGUAACUUGGCAUAUGAUAGUUCAUAACAGAGUGCACAGUGCAAGUUUUGGGUUAUGUGUGUUUUGGGUUUUUUUGUUUGAUUUUUGCUUUUUUGAACUUGUGCUUAAGAUACUACUGAUGGAAGACAGUUAAAGAUAAGAAGUACCUAUUCAUUCUAGUCUUGGACUCAAAAGAGGUGAAGGAAUCCUAAUCCUUUUGAGAAGAGAACUUCUCAGCUUUAUGGCUGACAAAGUUUUACCUCAUAUAUACCUUUAGUGUAUGACUUCAUUGUCCCCAAAGAACUGGGCCGAGUGAGGAGCACACAGAGCCCUGUCAAUUGACACUGAAAUGGUGCAAAACAAGCUGCUUGGAAAACUGCAGACCCACACAGGAAUGAUACUUUCUGGCUAAGGGCUCUGUUCUGACAUAAAGAAAUGCCAUAGCUUCAGUGUCAGUUACCACUACAGGUGGGCCACAGCUCUCUUCCAAGGCAGCUGCAUGGAUUUUAAACAAGGAGACACACCCAAGCCUAGGGAGCAUUCCCAGGUGCAGCAAGCAAAGAUUUCCUAGUGGUAAUUAUUUCCCACCGACUCAGACGGAAGGACAGCGUGGAUGCCUGACAAAUACUGGUAAGGAGAGUAUGCCAAGUCAAGCAGAUGAGUCAGCACAGGCAACAUAAAGGACCGCAGUUAAAAGCUAGGGCUAGGACUUGGAGGACGUGUAGGCAAACGGAAGGAGAGCCGGGGGAAGAAAAGCCGAAAUGGAUUCAUUCUCCGUCCUGGCUGGAGGAGGAGAGGAGCGGGGACGUGCGGGCUGCCUGCAGCUGCCUCUGUCCGGUGAGAAGUGCUCCCAGCCCCGCGGCUGACUCGGGCUCGGGAGUCCGCGCGGACUUUCGCUCGAAGCUGCCAAUCAAACCGCUAACCGCCACCACCCUGCGCUGGCACCGACAUGAGCUGAGGGAUCAUGUUGUGCCAGAGCCACCUCUGCAGCCCCCUCGGCCACCUCAGCCCUGGGCAGAGGCUGAGCACAUCUGAAUAUUUCUAUUCAACUCUGCAAACAGACGGAGAUACUCCAAGAAGCCGAAAUGUUUUCAGCCAAACCGCUCUCUUGCCGGCAGCUUCGGAUGCUGUAGCGGGAACCAGAGCAGCCCAAGGAGAGAAGCAAACAAUUAAAACAUUUACAUGUUUGCUUCCUGAUAGACAUCUCUACAAGGCAAGAUUCUUCAGAGCCUGAGUGACUUCAGAAGGAGAAACUUAUUAGAAGAAGUCUUUGCCAUUAUAUGUAUAAAUCUGGAAUAGUUUCACUCCGAACAACAAACGUGGACGCUGCUCAACGGGGAGGAGGAGGGGAACACAGCCACCCAGUGUUUGCAGACUCCAGCACAGCAAAGUGGUGGACUUGAGGCAAGUUCUGCCGUGGAAUGGCUGCUGCACGUAUCUGCUUGUGCAGUGGGUAAACAAAGCAUCACAUGGGCUGCAGGCUGAGCACGAGGCGCGUGGCUGACCUAUACGUGUAUGAGGCAUGCAGGAGGAACAGCAUAUUCCAAACAUUAGAGCCUGGUGGGAUAUUCAGGAACUUCUCUCAAAAAACUCAAACAAACGAAACAAAACCACAAAUUGAUUAUAACUGAAAAAUUAUUUGGCUUGAUUUCUCCUGUUUUUCCACAAGUUUCAGUGAGUAUUUACAUAAGCGUAUUUCUACAUUGCCUUGCAUUGGAAACAGCUUGUAAGUAUGUUCAUCAAAAUGUCAGUCAAUUAUAAUGUAACUCAUUGCACCUGUUUGGACCUCAGUAGUUGCUAAUUGUAACUGUGCAUUUACAGCUGUGACUGUGCUGGUGCUCAGCCUCAGACCUGACUGCCCAUAGGACAUUUCAAACUAGAAAUUAAAAUCACUGCGUGUGUUUCAGAACUGCUCUCAUAGACGAAACCUUUGCGCUAAAGCUUGUACUGUCACGAGAAAGAGAAAUUAAUUUUGGAUUGAUGCUACUCAGAAGGACCAUUAUACCCUCGCAGGAUCACAGUGACUGCUUUUUCAGUGAUGUGCCAGGCUGUGAUGGUGCUUGGACUGUCUCCUAACAUUUCUAUAGACAAGAGCUACUUAAACAGCAAGUCCAGGCUUGGGCCAAACUGCAAGUACUCUUUAUGUAGACAGGCAAAGUGUCAGACACAAAGUUUUCCACUUUAGAGCAGGCGAUCUGCUUGCUUCCUCUUCCCUGACCUGGAGACCUGUUCCAGGCAUUGCCUGAGUCUUAACCCUUCAAUGAGAGGUGCCUCUCUGAGCUGCCCCUUGGCCAUGGUACCUAAUGGGUGGAGGUAUGAAUUCUUCAUUCAGACCUGGCCAAAUCCAGUGCUAGACCUGGAUGCAAAUCAGUUCUACCGAAGGUUUAGGUAGUGAAGGAACUGAAACUUGCUGCUUACCUGCCAUGUUGCACAGGGCCAGCAUGAGACCCAGCCCUACAAGCUCUGCUUGUAGGGUUUUGGUAUUUUUGACACAGUCAUUUGGCAUUUUGAUUUCCCUAUGGUACAAACAGGGGGACAAUCUAAAAAUAAGAAAUAGCUUUCCUGCACGAAUACCUUGAAUCAUUAGAAACUGAUGCUUUGUGAGUUUGCUGGGAAUCUGUUACUGUUUUUAUAUUUUCAUAGGGAUGUGGUCAUCCAACAUUGUUGGACAGAGGUAAACAUGAGUAACCCAAUUUUGUUCUUACACUUGGAACACUGCAAAUAGCUAUAUAGUCCUGAAGUUUUUGUAUCUAACCAGAUGACACUGGGGGAAGUGAAAUAUUUCUUAUUAAACUGAGGCAAAAUAUGCCUUUGUGAUCUAUAAGGAAGUCUAAUAAUUUUGGGUUCAAAGAUGUCUAAUGUUGAAUUAUUAAAUGACUCAAUGUAGCUUUCUUUUAGAAGGGGUGAUACUCAUCCAUCAGCUGGAUCCAAGCUAUUACAAAAACUCUGCUAGAAAUAGAAUGAGAAAUAGACCAAAAACUCAGAGCUCAGGCUUGCAAAUAAAAUAAAUUGUUGUGACUGGUUGUUCACUAAUAUAUGUGAAAGAGGGGCUACGUGUUACGUGUCUUUUAUUAUUGACAGUGUGCCCAAUGCUGUAUGGUAAAUGUUUGAACAGUGUCACCUUCUGUUCUGCCUCCUUCACCUACAGGAGCAGCUCUGGUGGCGAAGGGGCAGCGUGAGGCACUGCUGGCCCCAACUUCCCGCAGGUGUCCAUCCGGCACCCGAGGCCUCGAGCAGCACCGUGUCUGUGUCCUGUGCCAUACCCACAGCCCUGGAACCAUGCAAGGAGAAUGAAGUUUGUUCUAAACGUGAAUUUAAUGUGCUUUCAGAUUUGACAGCCUCUUUUAAAAGGAAACGUUUAAGUUGAGCGAAAGGCACAUUUGCUUCUCCAAAUAAAUGGAAUUAUAGUUCAAAGAUCUGACUUAAUCCUGAGGCUCUUGCACUGUGCAGUAAGUAGGAAAGAAAGGGGAUUGCUCCGAGGAGCAGGGGUUAGCAGGAUCAGGGGCUGUUUUAUAUCAUCUCAUUUUCCUUCUGGUAUUUAAUAUACUUUCUUCUCAACUUGCACUGGCUGGUUCUAAAAAGACCCAGUAGUGUCAUACAUUAACUAAUGGCAAAUAAACUACUAAUUGAAACUAAUGAAGGAUGGUACAGGGAGUUCCCAUCCAGCUUUCCUGCUAGGAAAAUUUGAUUAUUGUUAAGCAAACAAAAAUGCCAUUCUUCCAGAUGUAUUCUCUCAUAUGGUUUCGUCCUUUUUCAGUUCAUUUCAGGACUUUUCUCAAAAUGCAUUUUACUUGUUGUAACUAUGUGCUCUUUUUCCACUUAAAAAAAUGUAUAUACAACUGUGUUUUAAAAUCUACAUUGACAUUUCAGUGAUUUGAAGGAAGAUGUUUACACAGUAACAGUGUCAUCUAUAUUUAUUGUAUCUCUACAAACAGAAGUUCUGAUCAGAUAAAAUUAAAAUAUGUGUGUGAUGGUUUUUGUGUGUUGUAAUGACAUCUGUAUGUUUCUAGUUGUGAUUUUGGUGCCUGCCCCCACAUUACCUGGCUGGUUAAGGAAAGUGGGAUCAAUAUUCUUACUUCUCCGACGUAUCAGUUUGUUCGUUAACCCCAGUGCUGCUGGCUGCACUCUCUGAAAUCAGUGAUUUGUCUUUGAGCUAUUUCUUUUUCUGCCAAAGCGCCGAGGUACAUGUAUUCCAGGCAGUAGCUGCAUCUGCGGGACAUGCUAACGUGGAGAGGAGCCUGGGCAGGAGGAGCACUGUGCCUAAAGGGAGCGUUCAAGAAGAGUCUCCAGCAAAGAUUAAAAUGAAGAAUGAAUGAAAUUUAUUGUGGCAAAGUUUCCUUCAUAGGCUGCAAAAAUAUGUGUACAGAUAUUUGGAUAAAGAAAGUUUUGCAAGCUUCAUUUCGAGCCAAAACCCUCUUGCAUGGAAAAACAAAACAAAACAAAACAAAAACAAAAACCUAAAUAAAUCCUCCUUAAAGAUGAGACAGUCCUGCUGAUGCAGUCUACCUGGCAGGCACUGCAUGCACUGCUGUGGUGUGGCCCUGAGAGGGGGUUUUGGCCUUCUGCUGAGGCCAAGCUCUGUCCUGGGCACUCCAGGGCUGCUGCUCGCUGCUGGUGUGGGCUGCUGGGUUAUAGUGCAGUGUAACUGCAUGACCCGCUGCUAUACACACCACUGGGAAAUCAGGUUUUUGACAGGGAACAGACCUCAAUUUCCUAGAUAAUAAUAAAUCUAUUAUUAAAAUAUUCCCUACUUUUCUCCCUACCUUCCCCAAGCCCCUAAAAGCUUCUCUAAGUGUGUGGAGGCAGCAGUGCUCACCUUCCCACUCUGUUUAUAUGGUGACUGCCAAAAUAAACCUGGAUGCAAGGAUCCAAGCUGUCCAGAGACCUCAGAAAGCUCUCGGCCACCUGGGGGCUGUCACCUGGAACACGAGCAGGUGUCCCCAGGGCCGAGGGCGCAUGGUGCUGAGGCCCUGUCCCUGCAAGCACUCAUGCAUGGCUCAGUGCCUUGUCCAUGCACUCUGGGACUCACUGUGCUCUGGAGGAUGUUCAGUGGCUGUGGAACGUCUGGCUCCAGAGCAUCCCUCACUCUGGGACUUCUGUGCACCCAACCCCACCACACAGUGUUGUGUUCGAGUUCAUUUUUAGAUGCGUUUGGUCCCCAAAGCACCUCCUGUGAUGUACUGCUGCCAAAUAUGGGACAAGAGUGGAUGAGGGAUUGCUGUGCUGCAGACCCGCAGCCCUGGAGGUGAGGAUGGUGAGCAGCAAAAGGAGGGAAGUAGGAUGUUGCACCUGUGUGAUGGGCAAUCGCAAGGCACGAGAGGGGCCAUGUCAGCCUUUGUCGCAGGGACUCAAACGCUGCCUUUCAGCACACGUAUCCUUUUUCUUCUUAAAGAAAUGUAUUUGGUUUUGCUCAGCCACGUGCUGCUCCAUCCCAGCACAAAGCACAACACAAUGCGCAGCCGUGCGCAGCGCCUGCCUGGGGGAAUUCGGGGCAUUUCGCAGCUUUCAGGCACGGGAACAAAUUGUGAACUGCGGCGUUGCAUCCAUGUGUGAACACACACGCAGCCACCAGCAGCUGAUGCUUCACACUAAUCACUCUCAUAAAUGCCUCUAAUUAGACUCAUAAAUACCUCUAACUUUCCUACAGGGAGCAACAAGCCCGAUGGGCUUCGUGUAAGAUCUGGGGGGAAAAAAGGAGUUAAAAAGAUGAGUAAAUCUGUUUUUAAACCUGGCAAGUCCUAGAGCGGUGCUCUUGAAAAUCCAACAGGAAUCCUAAAUUGCGGAGCCCUGCACCCCCCGGAGCCGCAGCGUGGGCAGAUUGGGGGCGAGCAGCCGGGGGAGGGGCUGCAGCCCUCCGCCUUUGUACCGGAGGGAGAAACAUUGGGAUCCUGCGGCGAGGGAACACAGAAACCCUCAAGGCAGAGAGAAAUAGGCGCAGACAAAAGCCCGUUACAUGGUUGCAAAUCACCCCGCUGCUGUUAUUUUAUUUACCGCUGCCGGCAGGAGGAUUGUUUUCUCUUGCAAAAAUUUAAGCUUUCUUUUUUCCCCCUACUUUGCCUUUUUAUUACUGUUCUUUUUCUUUCUCCUUCUCAGCCGCUGACCCCACAGUGCAGUGAGCCCAAUACUCUGGGUGCUGCUUUGGGGAACCCCUCCUUGUCCCGGGGUGCACAGGGACCCCCCAGACCCAUCCUGCAGUGCUGGGGAACGUGCUCAUGGAGCAGUGGGAAACUUUUCCCUCUGUCCUUUUUUCAAGGAAAUUCUAUAGUAUUAUUAUUAUUGAGAGGGUGUAAAAAAGAGAAACAAAGCCCUCUGGGGCACUAUAAUUAGUGUGUACUGGUUUGGGAUAAAUGUUCCCCUUUCAGUGCUGAGGGGAUGCCCUCAUCUCCCCCAGCCUCUGAGCAUGUUCCAGUUGAGGACCAUUGGAGUUCAGCCAUCAAUGAAUGUGAGUCCUCGGCAAAAAUAACCCAGGGGUCCCUUCUGGCUCAGGAUAUUCUGUGACUCUGUGCUAUGAGAGAUGCUCUGACAUGGGUCUGGGAUUGCCAGUGCUUUAGCAUCCAUAAAACCCCUUUGGGACAUUAUAUGCCCAGCAUGUGAAUGCAUCACUGGAGUAGUCAGGGAAGGAGGGAAAAGCAAAGCUGCCCAUGUCUCUGUUGGAAUGAAGUGGCUCCCAUCCUUGUAAAUACGUUUUGGUAGUGGCCGCAAUGGCCGUAGGGGUUGGGGGGAGGGGGGGGAGAGACCCCAGCCAGGUCUCUCCCCUGCCAGCUGCUCGCAGGAGCUCCCGAGGUGUCUGGACAGGUAAUUAGUGCCUGGGCUGCAGGAUCCCUCCAGUCAUCCCGCCCAGCACAUGCGAGGAGCGGCAGGGCUCGAUUUUUGAUGGCUGAUUUACCCCGAACAAAGGCCCCAAACAGCACUGAGCGCCCGACUCAGGGAUGGAAACUUUAGAGCCAACGGGCUCCUUUCCCAUCAGUUAAAAAUAGUGUUAUUUUUUUCUAAGCUGAUAACAUUUUAAACAUUUUACGAGACAGACUUUUCUGGGGAGGCAGGGAAACCUGUGCGUUUGCUAUAAAAGAAACUUCUGUGGAUGGGGAAACGUUUCCUGUGAACUCACCUGUUGCCAGCCAAGGAGAAAUGUUCGGUGUUUUAUUUCAAUCAAGAAUUUGCUGCUAUCUGGUGCUUUAUCUAACCUCACUCUUUGGAAGAUUUGAUGUCACGCUUGGCAGAGCCCUCAGAUCCACGUGGCUUUAUGGUGCUGCUCCGCUAAAACUCCUCAUGUGUUGGCGUACAGUUGAAAAUAAAGCCUGAAGUUCUCACAGGAUGGGCAAACAUGGCCCAAAUUGGCCUUGAAUUUUUAAGCAGGAGUUGAUGUAAGCACCUCUGUGCAACUCUCCCGGAGUCUGAGCAAUGCCAGGCAGUGCAAUUUGCUGCACAGGAGAGGUCUCUGCCACACAGCCCCUGGUUUUAUUGCAUGUUGUAUACUGUCCCUCACCAUUUAACUUUACAUGGAGAUUGAUUUUGAAGGGCAGUCUUGGCUUCUCAGAACCUGUAUAACACCAAUGGCUGCACGGGCCAACAUCUGCAGCCAUUUUGGUCUUUGUGCCACCGCACUUAUAGAGGUCACCAUCAGGUGGAGUGGGAUACUGAAAUGUAUGCCCAUGCUUCAACCACAAUGGACUAUAUAUAUAUAUUCUCAAGUAAAUCAGCCCUUUGCAAAUAGUGGUUUUCUGGGGCUGCCCUUUACCUCAGGUGGUGGCAGGUUCCAAAGAAGAUGCAACAAUGAUCUCCAGAGAUUCCCUCCCAACCUCUAUGACUCCAUAACAACAGCCAGCUGGGACGCAGCCUCUGAUGUGAUCGCAACCUGACUCACCCUGGCUGCCUGCUGGAGCACUGAAGUUGCCCACAAUCAAGAUCAUCAGGAGCAGUUUCCAAGGAGACUACCUCCUUGUGGGUUGAAUCUUCAGCAGGUGCAUAUUAGCUCAUUUCCAGCGAAGUCUGCAGGGUGAGUUGUUCAAGUUUGUUUGUGGUAUUAAGCUCAUGAAUCAAACUGUUAGCUCUAACACGAG